rnacentral:rRNA from 1 species
AACGAACGCUGGCGGCAUGCCUAACACAUGCAAGUCGAACGAGACCUUCGGGUCUAGUGGCGCACGGGUGCGUAACGCGUGGGAACCUGCCCUUAGGUUCGGAAUAACUCGGAGAAAUUUGAGCUAAUACCGGAUAAUGUCUUCGGACCAAAGAUUUAUCGCCUUUGGAUGGGCCCGCGUAGGAUUAGCUUGUUGGUGGGGUAAUGGCCUACCAAGGCGACGAUCCUUAGCUGGUCUGAGAGGAUGAUCAGCCACACUGGGACUGAGACACGGCCCAGACUCCUACGGGAAGCAGCAGUGGGGAAUAUUGGACAAUGGGCGAAAGCCUGAUCCAGCAAUGCCGCGUGAGUGAUGAAGGCCUUAGGGUUGUAAAGCUCUUUUACCAGGGAUGAUAAUGACAGUACCUGGAGAAUAAGCUCCGGCUAACUCCGUG